AUUGAACGCUGGCGGCAUGCCUUACACAUGCAAGUCGAACGGCAGCACGGGAGCAAUCCUGGUGGCGAGUGGCGAACGGGUGAGUAAUAUAUCGGAACGUGCCCAGUAGUGGGGGAUAACCCGGCGAAAGUCGGACUAAUACCGCAUACGACCUACGGGUGAAAGCGGGGGAGUCGCAAGACCUCGCGCUAUCGGAGCGGCCGAUAUCAGAUUAGCUUGUUGGUGGGGUAAAAGCCUACCAAGGCGACGAUCUGUAGCUGGUCUGAGAGGACGACCAGCCACACUGGGACUGAGACACGGCCCAGACUCCUACGGGAGGCAGCAGUGGGGAAUUUUGGACAAUGGGCGCAAGCCUGAUCCAGCCAUGCCGCGUGCGGGAAGAAGGCCUCGGUUGUAACG
rnacentral:rRNA from 1 species